rnacentral:rRNA from 1 species
GAUCAUGGCUCAGGAUGAACGCUAGCUACAGGCUUAACACACGCAAGUCGAGGGGCAGCAUUUUAGUUUGCUUGCAAACUAAAGAUGGCGACCGGCGCACGGGUGAGUAACACGUAUCCAACCUGCCGAUAACUCUGGGAUAGCCUUUCGAAAGAAAGAUUAAUACCGGAUGUCAUAGGAUUAUCGCAUGAUAAUCCUAUUAAAGAAUUUCGGUUAUCGAUGGGGAUGCGUUCCAUUAGG